CUUAUGUGCGAGUGAAAGCGUGCGAGGGGGAGCCGGCGAUCGAAACUCGAUCUCACGCACGCAAGCGAGGGAAGCGGGAAGGAAGUGUGCCAUCUCUUAUGGGCA
rnacentral:lncRNA from 1 species